CGAUAUUUCAUUUAUAUCUAUUAAAGUACUCUGUAAAAUAAUAAUUUACUUUGGAAUAUGAAAUUAUAAAAAUAUUUAUUUUUCAAAAAUUUUAUUUUGUUAUAAUCUAAAACCACGAACUAAAAAUAAAAUUAAUAAAUAAAUAUUCACGAAAACGUACGGUAUUAGUUUUUGAAUUAAUAAGUGUUCUUUGAUAAAUGAAUCGCCCGUUAUUAUUAUUAUUAUUAUUAUUAAGUAUAUAAUAUUUCAUAACAAUAUUGUGUGUAUUUAUUGUAUCCCGUUAGCAUUGACGACAUUGUUUACAAGUUAAGUCGUGACAGAUCUGAGACGAGGGGCUUGUUAGACGAAACUGUCAAGACUUUUCAAACAACCCCGUAUUUAUUUUCUUAGUGCAGCGUUUGAAUUUAUUGUUCAGAAAAUAUGUUAGUCUUACGAGUUAGUUGCAUGACCAGUGGCUUAAUAACGUGAAUGCACGAAAGUGUAUACUUUUAUGCACUAUUUUUAUGUGGAAGACGCAAUUAUAUAUUUUCGCAUCUGCUGAAGCUGAAGUAUCAUACAAAGCAAAAAUAAUAGUAUUGUUGAGAAGUUAUUGUUGUCUUGCGUCAGUUUACUGGAAAUUUGUAAAGUUGGACGUUAUGACAGUACUUACCAUUAAGUUUCAGUACCGACGGUGGAAGGAAGAACGCCUGAAAUCCGAAAUAACCCAAGCAAAUGGCACAAAGUAAAUGUAUAAUGCAAAAGUGGAAGUUAUGGAUGCUGCAGGUAGGUGCAUACAAAUCUUGCAAGACUGAAUUUAAAAAAUGUAAGUAGUUCACUAAGCUACUGAAUAUGAGUCGUCACCAUCGUAGUCAUGAAUAAUGGUAAGUAUAUAAAUAUAAUGUACUUAAUAUUAUGUUAGGAUCAAUGUAUGCAUUUUUUGUAGUUGAAAUACGGAGGCUUUUUUAUGGUAAUGAUAUGUGAUAACAUCAUAAUAAUAUUAAAAUUUGACUUAUUAUUAUAUUAUCAGUUACCAUUAUUGCUGAAAAUAAAUCAAUGAGGUAGCUACUAAUAUAAUAAUAUUACAAGUAAUAUAAUCGGUAAUUAGUACGUACUAAAUGCUCUGUUAAUAUUGAACAGUUAAAUAUUUAUGAUAACAAUAUAUUAAAUAAAUAUUGUAUAAAUAAACAAUAGUAUCUCCAAAAGAACACAAUUUGUUUGUUUUUUACGAAUGGAUUUUUAGUAAACAUAAUACUAAGAUAACUUCAAUAUAGUUUUAUAAUUUUUUAGAAAAUUAAGGUACGAAUAAUUUUUUAUUCGAGAGUAUUUUUAAUUAAAUUUAAAAAAUAUUUGAUAACACCUUUGAAUUCUUUUUUUUUUUAUUCGACAAUUAUUUUUAGGUAAAUUGAGCAUAUUUUAAAAAGUUUUUAAAAUAAAUUAAAAUCUCUACUACCUACUAUAAUUAUUUCUAUUGAAGAAAUAAUAAUAAUAAUAAAAAAAUGUGGUCGCCGUUUAAAAACCAACAGUUGACAUCCUUAGCAUGAAAAAAUAUUAAGGGUGGUAUUUUCAAAUAUGAAAUUUAUAGUCUUUAUUAAUAUUCAAAAAUGUUUAUAAGGGAAGAAAAACAAAUACAGUCUCUAAAGUUUAAAAUACUUUGUAUAUAUUAAAGACUAAAGUUAAUGUCCAAAAUUAGCGAAUAUCGUUGUACACCAAAAUCAUUUAUUCAUUUUGACAUAAUAUUGAUUAAGCUUGUACUAACUGUUUGUAAACACUUCAUUAAUGAAUAUCGACUUUUAUCUAGAUAGGGAAAUUGAUGAAUGUUAUCAAUGUCAAUUUUUUAGAUUCUGAACGAAGUGAUGAAUGUAUUGAUUUUACAAUGAUGUGUGUAUGUGUUAUUUAUUAUUUUUUUGUUAAGAACUCAUCGAAAUAAUGCUUAAAUUUCAAACUUGGGGAAGAUUGUGGUUUCCGAUGACAAAAUGAUGAAUAUCCUUGGUGCAUUAUAAAAGUCAAAAUUUCAAGAUUAAGUUCGUCAGUUGUAGUUAGACCGCAGUGAUGUAUACUUCAAAUCCCGCAAGACCGUUCAAAGCACCAAGCCGUUCAGCCGUUGUCAUAUCUCAAAUAUAUAUCUACAAUAAUAAUUGUCAAUUGAUUCAUCGUCGAUUCUGUAUGCACAUUCUGAUGUGGAUCGUUGGCGAUUGCUUAACCAGACUAAUGACCGAUGUGAAGGUCAUUUUGGCGUACAACAUUACACUUAUAUUUGUCAUAGUAUUCUUUAAGUUGUUUUUCCAGUUACCUAAAAAUAUCCACAAAACGUGUGCACGACAUUUUUUUUAGACAUUUCAAAUUCUAUUUUUAUGCAAUCUUAUAUUUAUACGAACAUUAAAAUUUUAUAUAUCUAACUUAUUUUACUUCAAAAAAUAUUGAUCGUGAAAUUAUUUGUAACUUUUCAGCAUAAC